GACGAACGCUGGCGGCGCGCCUAACACAUGCAAGUCGAACGAGCGAGAGAAAGCUUGCUUUCUCGAGCGAGUGGCGAACGGGUGAGUAACGCGUGAGGAACCUGCCUCAAAGAGGGGGACAACAGUUGGAAACGACUGCUAAUACCGCAUAAGCCCACGGCUCGGCAUCGAGCAGAGGGAAAAGGAGCAAUCCGCUUUGAGAUGGCCUCGCGUCCGAUUAGCUAGUUGGUGAGGUAAUGGCCCACCAAGGCAACGAUCGGUAGCCGGACUGAGAGGUUGAACGGCCACAUUGGGACUGAGACACGGCCCAGACUCCUACGGGAGGCAGCAGUGGGGAAUAUUGCACAAUGGGGGAAACCCUGAUGCAGCGACGCCGCGUGGAGGAAGAAGGUCUUCGGAUUGUAAACUCCUGUUGUUGAGGAAGAUAAUGACGGUACUCAACAAGGAAGUGACGGCUAACUACGUGCCAGCAGCCGCGGUAGAACGUAGGUCACAAGCGUUGUCCGGAAUUACUGGGUGUAAAGGGAGCGCAGGCGGGAAGACAAGUUGGAAGUGAAAUCUAUGGGCUCAACCCAUAAACUGCUUUCAAAACUGUUUUUCUUGAGUAGUGCAGAGGUAGGCGGAUUUCCCGGUGUAGCGGUGGAAUGCGUAGAUAUCGGGAGGAACACCAGUGGCGAAGGCGGCNUACUGGGCACCAACUGACGCUGAGGCUCGAAAGUGUGGGUAGCAAACAGGAUUAGAUACCCUGGUAGUCCACACCGUAAACGAUGAUUACUAGGUGUUGGAGGAUUGACCCCUUCAGUGCCGCAGUUAACACAAUAAGUAAUCCACCUGGGGAGUACGACCGCAAGGUUGAAACUCAAAGGAAUUGACGGGGGCCCGCACAAGCAGUGGAGUAUGUGGUUUAAUUCGACGCAACGCGAAGAACCUUACCAAGUCUUGACAUCCUGCGACGCACAUAGAAAUAUGUGUUUCCUUCGGGACGCAGAGACAGGUGGUGCAUGGUUGUCGUCAGCUCGUGUCGUGAGAUGUUGGGUUAAGUCCCGCAACGAGCGCAACCCUUACUGUCAGUUACUACGCAAGAGGACUCUGGCAGGACUGCCGUUGACAAAACGGAGGAAGGUGGGGAUGACGUCAAAUCAUCAUGCCCUUUAUGACUUGGGCUACACACGUACUACAAUGGCGUUAAACAAAGAGAAGCAAGACCGCGAGGUGGAGCAAAACUCAGAAACAACGUCCCAGUUCGGACUGCAGGCUGCAACUCGCCUGCACGAAGUCGGAAUUGCUAGUAAUCGUGGAUCAGCAUGCCACGGUGAAUACGUUCCCGGGCCUU
rnacentral:rRNA from 1 species